rnacentral:piRNA from 1 species
UGUGCUGAUAUCCAAAUGGGACCCUGAGGA